UCUCUCUCUCUCUCUCUCUCUCUCUCCCACCGUUUUCUUUUUUUUCUUUCUUCCCUUGUUUUUGCGCCGAAAACCCCAGAUCUGGUCCUCUCUCUCAAUCUCUCUGACUCUGUCACCGACGGCAUUUUUUGGCCACUCAACGUCUCUCUUCACUCAGUGUCUUCUCGUCACUCUCUCACAGUCUCACCUCUCUCCGGUCUCGCUGGUUGUGAAUGUGUAAUUUGGAAGAAAGAAAUUGAAAAGAGAAUUUAAGAAAGGCAAACUAUGGGAUUACCUCUAUUGAGAGGAAGUCGUGGGCACCGAUUAGGACAAGAAAUUUGUGCCAAAUUACUCGAACAGCAGCCAUUUACGAGAUGGUUGAGUUGUUGAUGAUCUUCAAGAAAGUUGGAGGCUGAUGGGAUAGUAAAGACCUCUUGAUGACAUUGUUAUUAUACCAAAUAGAAAUCUGUUGUGAUGUCUCUUCUCUGGUUAUUGUCGUAACUGUUCGUGAUUGUACUUUCUUGUCAGAUUGUACUUUCUGUAUUUGUUAAGCUCUCUUCCAGCCAAAGGAUUGUGUUGCUUAAUUACAACAAAGACACUAAGCAAAUUGAUUUUCGACAUUAUUCGAUAAGAUUACAACCAGUAGGUGUUUCACGCAGAAUAAGAAAAUUUGUGCAGAACCAUCAGGUGCCAGAUCUAAGGAAUCUUCAAGAUGUGAGUGAUUUCGUGACAAAGGAAGUCCCUUGCUUAUCUACUUAAACCUUCGUUUUCCCAUUUGGAGAAUGGAUAUAAUCCAUUUCUAACAUUUCCACUCAUUAUUUCCUUCUUCAAACUGAGCUGGCUAUGGAUCAGAAAGUGAGGCAGAGGAAGAAGCUGCAACUGUAACUUUGUCUAGCGAUGUUGGUAGGGUUAACCGUGCUUCGAAAGCUUCAAGAAAUUGGUCCCAGGAUGACUCUUCAACUAGUUAAAGUUGAAAAGGGACUUCGUUCAGGAGAAGUCCUUUUCAGUGAAUAUGGGAAACCUGGUGACAAAGGAAAACAUGAUUAUGAAGAUAAUGAGAUGCAGGACAAUGAAGAUGAAGAUGAUUCAAAAGGUAGUGAAGAUCAAGAUGGCAAUGGUUCUGAAGUUGAUGAAGAUGAAGGCCAUGAAGAACUUGAUUAAGGGAAAUGGUGAUAUUCAGUUUUCGUGUUCUGAAAGUUAUGAAUUAAUUAAUGAUUAGAAAGUUGCCACCAGAAAAUUUUCAUUAACCAUUCUAGUGGCCUCAUAUAAAAUUUUGUUUGGGUUAUAUAUAAAUUUUGUUUGAAGCAGUUAAGUUCAUAUAUAGUUAGAGUAACAAAAACCGGUUUUAACU